rnacentral:lncRNA from 1 species
CAUGUUUUUUUGUCCCAACCUUCGAUUCAAGCAGCAACGAAGUAUAAAUGAAAUUGAGAUCUCCCCUUCUGCAAUACCCAUAGUACCAAGAAAAGAAAUAGAAAAGGCUAUACAUCUUAUCGAUCCAUGAGGACAUAUGGUCUUUCCCAAUUGGAAAAAUCAACAACAAAUGGAGAACUAAUCUUAAACCCCACAGGAAAAGAAACCUAUGAGAUUAAUUCAUCAAUGGACAAAGCUAACUAAAAAGAA